AGGAGCCAUACGCCAAUUAGGACUGUGACAGUGGAAUAACUCUUCCUGUAUACCCCAUUAUGGAGCUGUUUAUGCAUGAAAGAGAAAACAAGCAAGCAGAUAAGGAAUCUGGAUCAUCAUCUGAAACUUCUGUAAAUGCUGUGAGAAGAGCUUGGGGAAGAAGAGACAUUGAACUCUCUUCAAACAUAACCAUGAAAUGUGAAGUCACCCUACCAAAAGGAGCCUCUCAUCUAUAUAAAAAUGAAAAACAACCAGGCAAAAAAGAAAAAAAAAACAUUUUGCUCUUCAAGUUAAAAUAAUAAGAAUCAAAAGGUAAGGCUGAGUCCUGGGAAGUAUGUUAUAUAAAUAUACAACACAAGAGAGACCAUUAUGUUAAGAAGGCUCCAGCAAGAAUUAUAGCUGCUUUCCUGUUUACGUGACAAUCUACCUAUGACAAAAGUUUUCCACCCUUUCUCUUAUUGUAGACUUUUAACAAAAUCUCAUGCUCAUACUCUUCUCCAUCAUUUAAAACUCAACUCACUGGCAUCCUCACUACAAUGCCUUACCUUUGAAAUGUACAUCAUGUAAACUUACAGCCAAAACGUUGUGGAAUAAGGAGUGCAGAUUAGAAAACUUCUUAAUUUCAAUGCUUGUCCUAAUACUGUUACUAAAAUGAAUGAAAAGUAUAUUCCUGGGCAGGCACAGGUGGGCAGAUCAUUUGAGUCCAGGGGUUUGAGACCAGCCUGGGCAACAUAGAGAAACCCUGUCUCUACUAAAAAUACAAUAAAUUAGCCGGGCAUGAUGGUGCACACCUGUAGUCCCAGCUACUUGUGGGGGCUGAAACGGGAGGAUCUCUUGAGCCCAGGAGGUCAAGGCUUCAGUGAUGGUGCCACUGUACUCCAGCUUGGGCGAGAGUGAGACCAUGUCUCAAAAAAGAAAGAUAUAUUUCUUCCAAAUUCCCUAACAUUUCCAUAUUUGGGUAUUAGGGACCAUCUAGAGAUAAAUGUGAGAAGCAGGGAUCAAAAAUGUCCUGAAAUAUUUU
rnacentral:lncRNA from 10 species